rnacentral:lncRNA from 1 species
AAUGGGUAAUGAGAGGCCAUGCCAUUGGUGACCCCCUGUCAUGUAGACAGUUCAUUUUCCUGGCUGUUGCCCAUUCUUCCUCUGAGUCCCCUGCCCGCAUCCUUCAACCCAGAAGCUAUCUACAGGAGUCUCUGUUGUUCUGGGCCAUUAGCAUGGCCCUAUUUUCCUGUGGGUUUUGAUGGCUGGGUUUGUACGUUGCUGCACUUACAAAGACAAAACCUUGUCUUUGGAAAUAUCUACACUAGAAUAUCUGAAGAUAAAUUAUGGAAACAACUGUUGCUAAAGAAAGUUGGUGCAGCUCCUUAUUGGGAAAAGAAGUUGGCCUCUGUGGUUAGACAGUUUGUUGUUGGCUUUUAAUUUUUUAAAUUUUUAUGUACAUUGAUGUUUGCAUAUAUGCCUGUGUGAGGUGUCGGGUCUCCUGGAACUGAAGUUACAGACAGUUGUGAGCUGCCAUGUGUGUGCUAGGAAGUGAACCCAGGUCUUCUGGAAGAGCAACUAGUGAUCUUAAAACUGUUGAGCCAUCUCUCCAGCCCCUGAUUGGACAGUUUGUAAACACAGCUAUUUGUCUCCUCUGACCAGAGGAUGUAAAUAGUUUGCUAAAAAGUUCCCUUGGGGCUGGGGGUGUAGCUCAGUAGGUAAAGUACCUGCCCUAGGUUCAAUUUCUAGUACCACAAAAGUAAAUAAAGAUGCUCUUGAAAUUGCGAUACAGAA